UAUGAACGCUGGCGGCGUGCCUAAUACAUGCAAGUCGAGCGAACAGACGAGGAGCUUGCUCCUCUGACGUUAGCGGCGGACGGGUGAGUAACACGUGGAUAACCUACCUAUAAGACUGGGAUAACUUCGGGAAACCGGAGCUAAUACCGGAUAACAUGUUGAACCGCAUGGUUCAACAGUGAAAGACGGUUUUGCUGUCACUUAUAGAUGGAUCCGCGUCGCAUUAGCUAGUUGGUAAGGUAACGGCUUACCAAGGCAACGAUGCGUAGCCGACCUGAGAGGGUGAUCGGCCACACUGGAACUGAGACACGGUCCAGACUCCUACGGGAGGCAGCAGUAGGGAAUCUUCCGCAAUGGGCGAAAGCCUGACGGAGCAACGCCGCGUGAGUGAAGAAGGUCUUCGGAUCGUAAAACUCUGUUAUUAGGGAAGAACAAAUGUGUAAGUAACUAUGCACGUCUUGACGGUACCUAAUCAGAAAGCCACGGCUAACUACGUG
rnacentral:rRNA from 1 species